rnacentral:rRNA from 1 species
AUGGACGAGGAGGGCAUGGAGUUUCUGCUUGAUGCGGUUGACAGGUUUCCCGUGCGGGAGGAGUUUGCUGAUAACAUUGAACAGCCAGAUCCGGUUCCUCUUCUGUAUUUGUUACAGAACGGGGGCGACGGAGAGCAAGGUGCUAUUGCAGCGAACAGUGGUUUUGGGGUGGCUCAGUUGGCCGGUGGAGAUGUCUCGCCCGACGAGCAGGGCGAUGCCAGGAGACGGCGAGCUUCGUCUCCGACGAGGUCUGCUCAGUCAACUGGCCGAGUUAAUCCAGAGGCCCCCGGCUGGACUAAAAGGUUGCGUCUUGGGAGUGCGCCACCAGACCGUGUGCCAUGCCCAUCCAGGAUGAUUGCUCUGGAGUUAACAAUCUGCAAAUAUGCGGAGCAACCGGACAAGAGCGUGAUGCGGCCUGAAUUAGGCCUCAGCUUUGACUCGUUGGAUGAGGCAUACGACUUCUACAAUCUUUAUUCCUAG